AGUGAACGCUGGCGGUAGGCCUAACACAUGCAAGUCGAACGGCAGCACAGUAAGCGCUUGCUCUUACGGGAGGCGAGUGGCGGAAGGGUGAGGAAUACAUCGAAAUCUACUGUUUCGUGGGGGAUAACGUAGGGAAAGUUACGCUAAUACCGCAUACGACCUACGGGUGAAAGCAGGGGAUCUUCGGGCCUGGCGCGAGGGAAUGGGCCGAUGUCGGACUAGCUAGUUGGCGGGGUAAAGGCCUACCAAGGCGACGAUCCGUAGCUGGUCCGAGAGGAUGAUCCGCCACACUGGGGGUGGGACGCGGCCGGGACUCCUACGCGAGGCGGCAGUGCGGAAUAUUGGACAAUGGGGGGAAGCCUGAUCCAGCCAGGCUGCGAGAGCGAUGUAGUGGUGAGGGAAGUAAAGCUCUUUUGUCCGCGACGAUAAUGACGGUACCGAAAGAAUAAGCCCCGGCUAACUUCGUG
rnacentral:rRNA from 1 species